UGGAAGUCUUGUUGUUUUGCUCUUUGGGUCUACACUGCUUUUAUGAGCUGUAACACUCACCGCGAAGGUCUGCAGCUUCACUCUUGAAGCCAGUGAGACCAUGAGCCCACCGGGAGAAACGAACCACUCCAGACGCGCCGCUUUAAGAGCUGUAACACUCACUGUGAAGGUCUGUAGCUUCACUCCUGAGCCAGCGCGACCACGAACCCACCAGAAGGAAGAAACUCCGAACACAUCCGAACAUCAGAAAGAAACUCCAGACGCACCACCUUAAGAGCUGUAACGUUCACCGUGAGGGUCCGUGGCUUCAUUCUUUAAGUCAGUGAGACCAAGGACCCACCAAUUCUGGACACACUGUGAGCACAGAUUUGUGUAUUCUGGACACUUCACAUAAAUGGACUCGUGACAUUCAUGUCUUGUUUCUUUCACUCAGCAUAAUGCUUCCAAGGUUCAUCCAUGAUGUAUCAAGUACUGUAUUCCUUUUCAUGGCUGAAUAAUAUUCCAUUGUACACAUAUAGCACCUUUUUUAAAAUCAAUUCAUUUGGAUUGCUUUUAUUUUUUGGCAAUUUUCAAUCAUGUGGCUAUAAACAUUCAUAUACAAGUUUUUGUGAGUAUGUGUUUU
rnacentral:lncRNA from 1 species